GACGCUCAAACAGAAACGGGAAUAAGAAGUUUGUAUCUGACCUUAUGGAGUCGAAAGCCAUUCUUCUUUGCCUCAUGUUGAUUCUGCAGCUAGGAAACUCCAUUCAUGUUGGUAAGAAAUCGAUAUCCUUAUCACUAUAUUGUCAGCUAAACAUCAUGAAUUUCUUAGGACGUUUCACAAUUUGGAUAUCUUUCAAUGAUGUGUGUGUUCUUGUUCACAGAGCAGUGCAGGCAGGAAGCUGCUUUUACAAGCCCCAAUUGCACAAAAGAAAGUUGCCAAAGUGCUUGCCAAAAGUCAUGGGGAGAUGACAUCCUUCAUGUGGUAUGUAGGAUGACAGGCAUAACCUUGGAAACUUGUUACUGCAUCGUAUGUGUCUAGAGUUGCACUAAACCAUCAUGUAAGGCAAUGGAUAAUAAUGUGAUCCGGUAAUAAAGUCCUUUCGCAACAUGCUUGCGGUAAACUACAGUGACCACCAAAUUCGGUUGUUUUAUUUGAUUUAGUCAUGUAUUCAUGUGUGAUCUUAAAUUUGGUUAUUUUGUGUUUGCAUGGCCUCGCGAUUUACAAGUUUAGAAACAAACAUACAUGACAUGAAUAAACCAAGCUUAUUGUUUGGACA
rnacentral:lncRNA from 1 species